ACGCGAACUGCGGGUGGGAGGAGAGAGAGGGGUGUAGCUGAGACGGAAUCGGGGCGCGGGGCAGCCGGACCCAGCCAGCGCUCUGCUGGCGCCACCCACCCAGAGGCGGCACGGCUGGAAGCCCGGUGAAGCCGGGACCCGCGAGGGCCCCGUCGCUCCUCACCUUCAGGGUCCGCAGUGCCGCGCUCAACAUCAGCUGCUGCGGCGGCCACCGCCCAUGCCGUCCGGCAGCGACCAGCGCUGCUGUCCCGACCCACAGCCCCGCCAUUGUUGUCCCCGCAGACCGCCUCUCCGUUGACCUCUCACCCAGCCGGAGAGGGGCGGAGAAGGGGAGCGCCCGGGCUUCGACAAAUCACGAGCCAGAAAUCCGAUGCCCCACCCCCUAACUUGCGGGAAGGGGAGCGUGUGAGUGGUCGGCCAGAUCCGCCGGAUCCGGCAGCCUGGAGACGCGCUAGGACCCGGAAGGCUAGUGGGCUGGCGGCGCGUCAGGUCCCUAGCUGAGCUGGGGGCCACUGGCCAGAGCCGACCCCAGGAGUGAGAGAGGCAGGGACACGCGUGAGUUCCGGCGACCUGCAGCGGGCAAACCCCGUACCUUCCCAGCAUCCGCUCAGCAACCCACGUGCAUCCAGGCCGGUUAAUGUCAGUGAGUCACCUCCGCGCCUUGGCCACCCUGGGGUCCCGAGAAUCCGAAGUUCCAGACAAAUGCCCAAACUACAUUCCUGCCUGUUUGAAAGCGUAAAUUGCAAAGCACAAAUCCAGGAAUAUUUAAAAGCAAAUCUAAGACAUCAGACCAUCUCACCUAUAAAGACAUCAGUAUUAGGGGUUCCGCUCUUAACUACUUUGCAUCUCCUGCAGAGUCGCCUUGAGAGAGUUACAAAGCUAGGAAUGACCUAGAGUACACUACAGCAUGGUAAAUGCCAAAAGAGAGAUAAAUAAAAUGGGGAUAUCAGAAAGGUGACAUUUAGUGGAAUUUUAAAAUGUAAGUAUGGACUUUUGUGACAAAAUGAAAAGGAUUAUCAAUUUCACAGGACUUCUCUCUUAUGUACCUCAGUCUUCAUUCAUUUUCUACCUGGGAAACCUGCUUUUCUUUUUUUUUUUGUUUUUUGUCUUUUCCCCAUGUUUUACCCUUUGGGUUAGUUUUCCUUAGGCCCUAUUUGUUUUUCUUAUAGGAGUUCUUUUUAUGAAAGGCACUUGUAGCAGAAACUGCUUCUCAUACUAUCCAUUCUCCAUGCAUUACUUUAAUAAGAGUGCUCCUGUGAUCUAGCUGGGUACGUGGCCACCCAGCGAAAGGCUGCAAUAGCCAGCCUCCCUUACAACAAGGUGUAGCGCCAUGACUAAGGUCUGGAAUGUAUGGGUUGUUCCCUCCAUGCCCUCUUCUUUCUUACCUAAAUAAAGAUCUACAUUUCCCAACCCCCACUGCAGCAAGGGUGCUUACCAAGAUUUGGUUACUAAGUUUUGGCCAAUGGGCCAUAAACACAAGUGACAUAGACAACUUUUGCGUUAUGCCUUUAAAGGGAAAGGCAUGCCUUCCACUUGCCCUUCUCCUCUUUCCAGUUUGCCAGAAUGUGGACACAACAGUGGAGGUAAAGUUGUCAUCUCAGAUGAUAAGAAGGAAGUUAGGUGAUCCAGGAGGCAAAACAAUAUACCAGGAGCCUUGAGGUGCCUGAUUCUGUGGAGCUGCCAUGUCAACCCUGGAACGCUUUGUUCCAAUUGUUAUGCAAGCAAGUAAAAUACUGUAUCUUGUUAAGUUA